GAUGAACGCUAGCGGCAGGCUUAAUACAUGCAAGUCGAGGGGUAACAUGGGGUAGCAAUACUCUGAUGACGACCGGCAAACGGGUGCGGAACACGUACGCAACUUUCCCAAAACUGGUGAAUAGCCCUCCGAAAGGAGGAUUAAUACACCGUAACAUAUAGAGGUGGCAUCGCCUUUAUAUUAUAGCUCCGGCGGUUUUGGAUGGGCGUGCGCCUGAUUAGGUAGUUGGUGUGGUAACGGCUCACCAAGCCUACGAUCAGUAACUGGUGUGAGAGCACGACCAGUCACACGGGCACUGAGACACGGGCCCGACUCCUACGGGAGGCAGCAGUGGGGAAUUUUGGACAAUGGGCGCAAGCCUGAUCCAGCCAUGCCGCGUGAGUGAAGAAGGCC
rnacentral:rRNA from 1 species